UCGGGAAUUUUGGGCAAUGGGGGAAACCCUGACCCAGCAACGCCGCGUGAAGGAUGAAGUAUUUCGGUAUGUAAACUUCGAAAGAAUAGGAAGAAUAAAUGACGGUACUAUUUAUAAGGUCCGGCUAACUACGUGCCAGCAGCCGCGGUAAUACGUAGGGACCAAGCGUUGUUCGGAUUUACUGGGCGUAAAGGGCGCGUAGGCGGCAUGACAAGUCACUUGUGAAAUCUCUGGGCUUAACCCAGAACGGCCAAGUGAUACUGUCGCGCUAGAGUGCAGAAGGGGCAAUCGGAAUUCUUGGUGUAGCGGUGAAAUGCGUAGAUAUCAAGAGGAACACCUGAGGUGAAGACGGGUUGCUGGGCUGACACUGACGCUGAGGCGCGAAAGCCAGGGGAGCAAACGGGGAUUAGAUACCCUGGUAGUCCCUGAGCGGGCUGGCAAGGCGCAU
rnacentral:rRNA from 1 species